AUGGCUGACUCUGGUGGACUCCCUCAGCUCACACAGCCUGGAAAACUGUCCGAAGCAUUCAAGUACUUCCUCCAGGGGAUGGGCUACAGUAAGUAUCUAGAACCAGAUUCAAAUCAUUUGUCACAUAUGAGUGAGUGUAUGAGACUGUGUGUAUGUGGGUUUGUGGUCUCUCAGAAACUAGGCAUCACUACCUUGAUUGAGUUUAUCUCUCCAUACUGUACCUUAGAAAUACAUUGUUCUUCCCCCUUGUGUGUUUUAAUCCUCUGUUUAGACACUGUCUGUAUGUUGCGUUGUUCUGAAUGUGAGAUCGUGUUCUGACUUUGUUGUGAAUAUGUUGUGAAUACAGUAUGUUGUUUGGUUUGGUGUGAUGUCUAUUGCAGGGACCUGUUGUGUUAAUCUUGCCCUCUGUUUUCCUGACUUCUCUCAGUUGCGUAUGUGAAGGAUCGGAGGUUGAGUGGUGGGCCAGGUACUUCCUGUUUGCUGUUCACCUCUGACCUCUGACCUCCUCUCUUUUUCCCCUACAUGUGCAGUGAUGAUGCUCUGAUCACAUAUCUGCCUUUUGACUUAUUAUAAAAUGUUCUUUGUUUUAGCGCUUGAUUUCUGGUCUUUGGCAAUCUUAAAGAUUUUAUUACAUUUUGUAUUUAUUUUCUAAAUGCGUUUUUCCUCAGCCUAAGGAAAAAUAUGCUAUUGCUACUUUUUUUCCCCAUCCCUGCCAUUGCAUUCCCUAUCUUGCUCUUUGCAUGGCAUACAGCUAUUUAUGAUCCAGUGUUGAACACUCAUUGGCACAUUGUAGUGUCCAAGUGAAGCAACUUUUUUAGAAAUAUUAGCAUGGAAACGACUAGGAUAGAACUUGUCAUAUUUUAAAUGGAGAAUUAUAGCCAAUAGGCAUGUUUUGAAGUACCUGCCUUUACUGCAGCUAAAUGCUAUGAGCAUGUGCACUGGGAUUAUGUGCCUCAAUGGAAAACAUACCUUCAGACAGAGCUCCCAACGUGUUAGAACUGCUACUUCCCAAGUUGAAGAUUUUUGGUAAUUGUUACGCAAGGUUCAUGUUUUCCAUGCUCUACUCUAAGACAAUUGCAAAAUCUUGACAGAUAAGUUCAGGAGCAGGAUAACGCUUGCAGGAGGGGGAGCUGACGGAGAUCAACUCCUCUGCAGCGUUCAGACUUUCCUCACAGUCCCAUUGCAUGGUCCUGCUGUACUGUAGCAGGGGGAAUGUGUCUGCAUGCAGAGUUGCAGGCACAUGUUGAUGGCUUUACAGAAACUCUCAAGCAUCCAUAGCUAGCAGGAAUGUUUGUUACAGCUAGCAGGAAUGUUUGUUACAGCUAGCAGGAAUGUUUGUUACAGCUAGC
rnacentral:lncRNA from 13 species